UACGGAGGAUGCAAGCGUUAUCCGGAAUGAUUGGGCGUAAAGCGUCCGCAGGUGGCUGUGUAAGUCUGCUGUUAAAGAGUCUAGCUCAACUAGAUAAGAGCAGUGGAAACUACAUAGCUAGAGUACGUUCGGGGCAGAGGGAAUUCCUGGUGUAGCGGUGAAAUGCGUAGAGAUCAGGAAGAACAUCGGUGGCGAAGGCGCUCUGCUGGACCAUAACUGACACUCAGGGACGAAAGCUAGGGGAGCGAAUGGG
rnacentral:rRNA from 1 species